UGACCUUGAUGUCGGUGGCCGUCACCCAGUCCUGCAGCACCGGGGAGUUGUCGAAGUCGUGCGCAGACGGUCGGCCGUCCAGAGUGCUGAAGGCGAUGAGGCCGCCGAGGAACAAGAGAAGAGAGUCCACUCUCUCUAGGCAGCGGAGCCACUUAAACAUCUGCGUUGAAAGCAGCAGCAGCAGCGACCUCUUCUGAUUCCUCCCCCUCCAGCUCUGCUGCUCAUUCAUCUCAGCUCUGACUACUCAACUCAUCAAGCCACCUGCUACAAAAGGAGACCCAGCUUCAUCAUUCUUCGCCAGUCCGUUAACCCUGAUGGUUUUCACCUCAUGUCAAGAGUGUCACCUGAGUCCUACCACCUCGAGCAGCAGCAGCCACAGCCUUCCUGUGCUGAUACCACCUGUGAAUGUGAGCCACAGUUUCUGUGCUCCUCAAUCUCUCCAGCUACGCCACGCACCAAGAACUCAAGCCACGUUACCCACAGUCUCGCCAGGAACCAACAAGAACUUUAUUAAACAUCUUACUUACCACUCACCUACCUGCCUCUGCCUAUGGGUUUCAGCAUCUGGGUCCGUCAUGACAUUUUUCUCAUUAUGGACAAGUAUAAAUUGUGAAUCAGGAGCAGACCAAAAAUCCUGUUUAAAAAAGCUCGCAGGUGAGACAUAGAACAGGGGUGGGUAAGCUUUUUGACUUGUGGGCAACAAGGGUUCAAAAAUUUGGGAACAAGAGCAGACUCAUCAGUGAAGGAAAUGUCAUGAAAUCAGGAUGAAAACACGCUUUAAUUUUGAUUGAAAAUUAAUAAAUAUGUUUUGUUUCUAAA